CUACGGGAGGCAGCAGUGGGGAAUUUUCCGCAAUGGGCGAAAGCCUGACGGAGCAAUACCGCGUGAGGGAAGACGGCCUAUGGGUUGUAAACCUCUUUUUUCAGGGAGGAAUUUUGACGUGUACCUGAAGAAUAAGCAUCGGCUAACUCCGUGCCAGCAGCCGCGGUAAGACGGAGGAUGCAAGUGUUAUCCGGAAUCACUGGGCGUAAAGCGUCUGUAGGUGGUUAAGCAAGUCAACUGUUAAAUCUUGAGGCUCAACUUCAAAAUCGCAGUCGAAACUGUUUGACUAGAGUAUAGUAGGGGUAAAGGGAAUUCCCAGUGGAGCGGUGAAAUGCGUAGAUAUUGGAAAGAACACCGAUGGCGAAGGCACUUUACUGGGCUAUUACUGACACUCAGAGACGAAAGCUAGGGUAGCAAAUGGGAUUAGAUACCCCAGUAGUCCUAGCCGUAAACAAUGGAUACUAGAUGUUGAACAGAUCGACCUGUGCAGUAUCAAAGCUAACGCGUUAAGUAUCCCGCCUGGGAAGUAUGCUCGCAAGAGUGAAACUCAAAU
rnacentral:rRNA from 1 species